rnacentral:rRNA from 1 species
CCUACGGGAGGCAGCAGUGAGGAAUAUUGGUCAAUGGACGAGAGUCUGAACCAGCCAAGUAGCGUUAAGGAUGACUGCCCUAUGGGUUGUAAACUUCUUUUAUAUGGGAAUAAAACGUUCCACGUGUGGGAUUUUGUAUGUACCAUAUGAAUAAGGAUCGGCUAACUCCGUGCCAGCAGCCGCGGUAAUACGGAGGAUCCGAGCGUUAUCCGGAUUUAUUGGGUUUAAAGGGAGCGUAGGUGGAUUGUUAAGUCAGUUGUGAAAGUUUGCGGCUCAACCGUAAAAUUGCAGUUGAAACUGGCAGUCUUGAGUACAGUAGAGGUGGGCGGAAUUCGUGGUGUAGCGGUGAAAUGCUUAGAUAUCACGAAGAACUCCGAUUGCGAAGGCAGUUCACUGGACUGCAACUGACACUGAGGCUCGAAAGUGUGGGUAUCAAACAGGAUUAGAUACCCUAGUAGUC